CCUACGGGCGGCAGCAGUGAGGAAUAUUGGUCAAUGGACGCAAGUCUGAACCAGCCAUGCCGCGUGCAGGAAGACGGCUCUAUGAGUUGUAAACUGCUUUUGUACAAGGGUAAACCCAGAUACGUGUAUCCCUCUGCAAGUACUGUACGAAUAAGGAUCGGCUAACUCCGUGCCAGCAGCCGCGGUAAUACGGAGGAUCCACGCGUUAUCCGGAUUUAUUUGGUUUAAAGGGUGCGUAGGCGGAUGGAUAAGUUAGAGGUGAAAUGCCUGGGCUCAACUUGGGAAUUGCCUCUAAUACUGUUGGGCUAGAGAGUAGUUGCGGUAGGCGGAAUGUAUGGUGUAGAGGUGAAAUGCUUAGAGAUCAUACAGAACACCGAUUGCGAAGGCAGCUUACCAAGCUAUAUCUGACGUUGAGGCACGAAAGCGUGGGGAGCAAACAGGAUUAGAUACCCUAGUAGUC
rnacentral:rRNA from 1 species